rnacentral:rRNA from 1 species
UAAUCGGAAUUACUGGGCGUAAAGCGUGCGCAGGCGGUUUGUUAAGCGAGAUGUGAAAGCCCCGGGCUCAACCUGGGAACCGCAUUUCGAACUGGCAAACUAGAGUCUUGUAGAGGGGGGUAGAAUUCCAGGUGUAGCGGUGAAAUGCGUAGAGAUCUGGAGGAAUACCGGUGGCGAAGGCGGCCCCCUGGACAAAGACUGACGCUCAGGCACGAAAGCGUGGGGAGCAAACAGGAUUAGAUACCCUGGUAGUCCACGCCGUAAACGAUGUCUACUCGGAGUUUGGUGUCUUGAACACUGGGCUCUCAAGCUAACGCAUUAAGUAGACCGCCUGGGGAGUACGGCCGCAAGGUUAAAACUCAAAUGAAUUGACGGGGGCCCGCACAAGCGGUGGAGCAUGUGGUUUAAUUCGAUGCAACGCGAAGAACCUUACCUACUCUUGACAUCCACAGAAUCUGGUAGAGAUACCUCAGUGCCUUCGGGAACUGUGAGACAGG